UUAAGGUAUCGAAAAAUCCGUGGCAAAUUUUGAGAGAGAAGAGUUAUAACAAGAACAGGAAAUUCGUUGUUUACAUAAGUCCCUUCUUCACCGCAACUUCAGCAUUCAAAAUACCAGCACCAGCAGCACCCAAAACUGUGUUAUGGACGAGGGAGACAAAUUUAAUAUCAAAGAUGGAAUCAGAUCUGAUACGACCAACUGAUACUGCAUAACCAUUUUCAUUGUUACGAUCGAGUCUAGGUUGAGGGCGGUCAGGAGUAGAAUCAUCGAAAACAUAAAUGGCUUGUUUAGGGGCACUGUAGCAGCCUAACUUUUGAGGUUCAGAAACAUAGUUUGCCAAUACUUCGCGAACUUGAUCAGGAGUAGGAGAGGUCUUGGCAAACUUCACAGAAAUACACAUCAAAUGGCCAUCAAUAACAGGAACACGAUUGCACUGAGCAGAAACAACGUUAUCAGUCAACUCAUAUCCAGAAAUUGUGCUAUUGACAGAGCCCAAGAUUUUACGUGUCUCCCAUUCAAUUUUUUCUUCUUCACCGCCAAUAAAUGGAACGAUGUUAUCCAAAAUGUCAAGACUGGAAACACCAGGGUAUCCAGCACCAGAAAUAGCUUGCAUACUAACUACAUUUGUUUGAGCGAUAGGACCAAAAGCAUCUUGUAGAGCUUUCAAAGGUACUACAACAGCAGCAGUAGAACAGUUAGAGUUAGUGAUAAUGCAUCCACGAUCCAGUUUGUUUUCUUGACGCUGGUACUUGAUAACGUCCAAAUGAUCUGUGUUGACGGUGGGGACAACAAGUGGCACGGUAGGCUCACGACGAUAGUUUUUAGCAUUCGAAACGAUGACUAAAUUAGCAUCACGAAAACUUUUUUCAAUUUCGCCAGCAAAGUCAGCAUCUAAGCCGCUAAACACAAUAUCGCAUUCCGAAAACUCCUUGGGAUCACAAGCCUUUACACUCAUUUGGGAAAUCUCUUUAGGCAUUGCAAUAGAUUGUUUCCAUUUAGUAGCAACUGCAUAUGGUUUUCCCGCAGAACGAGCAGAAGCGCCAAGAACAGCGAUCUUAAACUCAGGAUGAUCGGAAAGGAGGGUAAUGAAACGCUGUCCAACGGUGCCUAUUUAUGGUUAGUCAUGUGUAUCCAAAAACACUAGUCAGUGACACGGAACUGAAAAUUUAAUGUUCAUCAAAAACUUAUAGUACUAAAGACAUGGAAUUA